UACGUAGGUGGCAAGCGUUGUCCGGAAUUAUUGGGCGUAAAGCGCGCGCAGGCGGUUCUUUAAGUCUGAUGUGAAAGGCCACGGCUCAACCGUGGAGGGUCAUUGGAAACUGGGGGACUUGAGUGCAGAAGAGGAGAGCGGAAUUCCACGUGUAGCGGUGAAAUGCGUAGAGAUGUGGAGGAACACCAGUGGCGAAGGCGGCUUUCUGGUCUGUAACUGACGCUGAGGCGCGAAAGCGUGGGGAGCAAACAGG
rnacentral:rRNA from 1 species